AAUAUUAGGGAGCUACCAUUUGAUUUUUAUGGGGGGGCUAGGAUGAAAAAUUUUGUCCUGCUUUUUUUUUUAGUUGUAAUCUCUGUCCUGCCUUUUUAUUUUUUACUCUAUUCGGUCCUGCCUUUUUUUUUACAAGUUUAUCCUGACUUUUUUUACCCAAAUUGUCAUCCUGCCUUUUUUUUUGCCAAGAUGCCCAUCCUGCCUUUUUUUUUACUCAAAACUCCUGUCCUGCCUAUUUUUUCCAAAUUUCAUCCUAGCCCCCCCCAUAAAAAUCAAAUGGUAGCUCCCUUAC
rnacentral:lncRNA from 1 species